rnacentral:rRNA from 1 species
UUAAUCCGCUGAAAGAUAAAUCUGUUUAAGAUUAGGUUGUUGGUAAUUUAAAAGCUUACCAAGCCGAUGAUCUUUAGUUGGUCUGAGAGGGUGAUCAACCACACUGGAACUGAAAUAAGGUCCAGGCUAAUACGUUGGCCAGCAGUGGGGGAUAUUGGACAAUGAACGAAAGUUUGAUCCAGCAAUACUAACUGGGUGAUGACGGCUUAUUGAAGUUGUAAGAUCCUUUAAUUAAAGAAGAUAAUGACAUUAUUUAAUUGAAUUAGUCCUGGCUAAUACUCGUGCCAGCAGCCGCGGUAAUACGGGAAGGGCAAGCGUUAUCCGGCAUGACUGGGCGUAAAGAGUCCGUAGACUGUAAAAUAAGUUUUUUGUUAAAUUUUAAGACCUAAUCUUAACAUAGCAACUAAUACUAUUUUACUAUGAGUCUAAUACAGAAAAGUAGAAUUUUAUACGAUAGAGGUGAAAUUUGCAGAUAUAUAAAGGAAUGCCAAAAGCGAAGGCAACUUUUUGGUAUAGACCGACGUUGAGGGACGAAAGCGUGGGUAGCAAACGGGAUUAGAGACCCCGGUAGUCCACGCCGUAAAUUCUGAGUGCU